rnacentral:rRNA from 1 species
GGUAACCUGCCCUGUGCUGGGGGAUAACCUCGGGAAACUGAGAACAAUACCCCAUAGUCCACUACGCCUGGAACGGUGAGUGGAUGAAAGCCCCGGCGGCACAGGAUGGGCCUGCGGCGUAUCAGGUAGUAGGGGGUGUAAAGUACCCUCUAGCCUUCGACGCGUACGGGUUGUGAGAGCAAUAGCCCGGAGAUGGAUUCUGAGACACGAAUCCAGGUCCUACGGGACGCAGCAGUCGCGAAACCUUGACAAUGCGGGAAACCGUGAUCAGGGGACUCCAAGUGCCAGGAGUAAGAUCCUGUGCUUUUCUUUUCUCUUCAAAGGAUUUGGAAUAAGAGGUGGGUAAGGACGGUGCCAGCCGCCGCGGUAAUACCGGCGCCUCGAGUGGUAGUCGAUUUUAUUGGGCCUAAAACGUCCGUCGCCGGUCUGGUGCAUUCGUGGGUAAAUCAACCCGCUCAACGGGUUGAAUUCUGCGAGCACGGCCAGACUAGGGACCGGGAGAGGUGUGGGGUACGCUCGGGGUAGGGGUAAAAUCCUGUCAUCCCGAGCGGACCACCUGUUGCGAAGGCUCCACACUAGAACGGAUCCGACGGUCAGGGACGAAGCCUAGGGGCACGAACCGGAUUAGAUACCCGGGUAGUCCUAGGUGUAAACGCUGUGGACUUGGUGUUGGGAGCUCCCAGAGGGCUCUCAGUGCCGUAGCGAAGGUGAUAAGUCCACUGCCUGGGGAGUACGGUCGCAAGGCUGAAACUUAAAGGAAUUGGCGGGGGAACACCGCAACCUGAGGAUUGUGCGGUUU